UACGUAGGGUGCAAGCGUUGCCCGGAUUUAUUGGGCGUAAAGGGCGCGUAGGCGGUCUGCUAAGCGUGCGGUGAAAGCCUGGGGCUCAACCCCAGGUCUGCCGUGCGAACUGGUGGACUCGAGCACUGUAGAGGCAGGUGGAAUUCCGGGUGUAGCGGUGGAAUGCGUAGAGAUCCGGAAGAACACCGGUGGCGAAGGCGGCAUCCUGGACCGACACUGACACUGAGGAGCGAAAGCCAGGGGAGCAAACGGG
rnacentral:rRNA from 1 species